rnacentral:rRNA from 1 species
GAUGAACGCUGGCGGCGCGCCUAACACAUGCAAGUCGAACGAUUAAAGCACCUUCGGGUGUGUAUAAAGUGGCGAACGGCUGAGUAACACGUGGGCAACCUGCCCCUUUCAUUGGGAUAGCCACGGGAAACCGUGGAUAAUACCGAAUACUUCGAGACUUCCGCAUGGAAGACUCGAGAAAGCUCCGGCGGAGAGGGAUGGGCCCGCGGCCUGUUAGCUUGUUGGUGGGGUAACGGCCUACCAAGGCAAUGAUGGGUAGCUGGGUUGAGAGACCGACCAGCCAGAUUGGGACUGAGACACGGCCCAGACUCCUACGGGAGGCAGCAGUGGGGAAUCUUGCACAAUGGGCGAAAGCCUGAUGCAGCGACGCCGCGUGCGGGAUGAAGGCCUUCGGGUUGUAAACCGCUUUCAGCAGGGACGAGGCGAAAGUGACGGUACCUGCAGAAGAAGCCCGGGCUAACUACGUG